GCAGUACUCCCUCCGUCCGAAAAUACUUGUACAAGAAAUGGAUAAAAAUGGAUGUAUGUAGAACUAAAAUAUGUCUAGAACUCUAGAUACAUCCAUUUCUCCGACAAGUAUUUCUGGACGGAGGGAGUAUUUC
rfam:Triticum aestivum genome assembly, contig: Triticum_aestivum_CS42_TGACv1_scaffold_158572_2DL